rnacentral:rRNA from 1 species
GAUGAACGCUGGCGGCGUGCCUAAUACAUGCAAGUCGAGCGAACGGACGAGAAGCUUGCUUCUCUGAUGUUAGCGGCGGACGGGUGAGUAACACGUGGAUAACCUACCUAUAAGACUGGGAUAACUUCGGGAAACCGUAGCUAAUACCGGAUAAUAUUUUGAACCGCAUGGUUCAAAAGUGAAAGACGGUCUUGCUGUCACUUAUAGAUGGAUCCGCGCUGCAUUAGCUAGUUGGUAAGGUAACGGCUUAUCAAGGCAACGAUGCAUAGCCGACCUGAGAGGGUGAUCGGCGACACUGGAACUGAGACACGGUCCAGACUCCUACGGGAGGCAGCAGUAGGGAAUCUUCCGCAAUGGGCGAAAGCCUGACGGAGCAACGCCGCGUGAGUGAUGAAGGUCUUCGGAUCGGAAAACUCUGUUAUUAGGGAAGAACAUAUGUGUAAGUAACUGUGCACAUCUUGACGGUACCUAAUCAGAAAGCCACGGCUAACUACGUG